UACAGAGGAGCCAAGCGUUGUCCGGAUUGACUGGGCGUAAAGCGCACGCAGGCGGUCGCGCGCGUGGGGUGUGAAAUCUGGCCGCUUAACGGCCAGGCGCCAUCCCAUACGGCGCGACUGGAGUGAUGCAGAGGUCGAUGGAAUUGCCGGUGUAGUGGUGAAAUGCGUAGAGAUCGGCAGGAACACCCAGGGGGAAACCAGCCGCCUGGGCAAGCGCUGACGCUGAGGUGCGAGAGCGUGGGGAGCGAACCGG
rnacentral:rRNA from 1 species